UAGCAGUUCUAGUUCUAGUUGGUCAUAGUUGACUAAUUACAGCUAGGAUAAUCCUCUUGUUCUCAUAAUUAUAAGCCUUAUGUGGUUCUAAUCUCCUCCCUCUAAUUCUCUAGCGGCGAUUACCUCUGGACGGCGAAGCGCUGCCGGAUCGUGAAGGUUGCACGCUUGCAAUCAAGUAGAGAGGACAUGCUUUCGGUUUUCGGUUUGAGGGACUAUUUGUGGGUGGUACGAGGGAUCAUUCAUCGACGGUUCAAGGGACUCCAAAUAUGAUCUACAUCAGCACGUUCUUCUUCUGCUGCAACUCGGUGACGGUGGAGAGCCGUAUUGCAUAAAUUAUCCACUAGGAUGCUCUGAGCCUAGUUGCAUGGAGGAAUGCAAUUUAAUAGACAAGGGUCUUCAUUCCUUCUAUUGUAACCACAUUGGGCAAUGUUGUUGUUGGCCCCUAUAGUUUGAUCGGACACAACCAUUUUGGUUAUGGCUCCAUGACGUCUAAUGAAUCUUGAUUGUGAUUGUGUGAUGCAAUCUCGGGGAAUAAACUCCUUGCAUGGAAUGCGCAGCUCUAUUUGAUGUAGAUGGAAUAAUAUGUUCCUUUAGAAUGUGAUUAGUGGCAUCUGCUGCAAACCAUCUUUCUUUUCUUGUAUGACCAACUUUUCAAUUCAACUCAAUGAUUUAAAAGUAUGAAUAAACAAUCUUUCUACUUGA